rnacentral:rRNA from 1 species
UACAGAGGGUGCAAGCGUUAAUCGGAAUUACUGGGCGUAAAGCGUGCGCAGGCGGUUUUGUAAGUCAGAUGUGAAAUCCCCGGGCUUAACCUGGGAACUGCGUUUGAAACUACAAGGCUGGAGUGUGGCAGAGGGGGGUGGAAUUCCACGUGUAGCAGUGAAAUGCGUAGAGAUGUGGAGGAACACCGAUGGCGAAGGCAGCCCCCUGGGUUAACACUGACACUCAAGCACGAAAGCGUGGGGAGCAAACAGG